rnacentral:lncRNA from 1 species
AAAAAACCGCCUGCAAACAGGGGCACCUGAGCCUGCUUGGUCUGCAAAUGUUUCAAGGCUCAGGGAGGCUGUCAUGGAUGUUCUCCCCCGAGAGCUCCAGUGGCGGAGGUCUGCACAUUCAAACUUUGUAUUGGUUUUUGCCCUGCAUACUUUAAACAAAUGUUCGAAUGGUAACAUCACACUUUUAUGGCUUGUCCUUUUAUAUUUUGACCAAGAAAUUCUGUGCCUUAUCAUGUCUCUGUCUUAAAAACACAUUUUUUUAAAAAGUUUUGAAACUUUGCUUUUCAUAUUUAUUCUAUCUGGAGUAUACAUUUGUGAAUGGUUUGAGAUAGAGUUCAAGUUUUAUGUUUUUCCCACAUGGGAAGCCAAUGUCACAGCACUAAUGAUCGAAUCCUUUACCCACGGGAGUGCCCAGCCAUCUCCAACAUGUUCACAUCUGUAUUUUCUAGGCCCCCUACUCUCUUUCAUUGUUCUAUUUGUGUUUAAAUUACUAGAGUUUAUAAAUCAUGAUAUGUGGAAUAAUGGGUCCCCCCCUUACCUUUCAGCAAAAUUAUUCAGCUAUUUUUGGCCCUUUAUACUUCCAUAUGAAUUUGAUAAUCAGCUUGUGAGCAAAAUCUGGUUGGCAUUUUGAAUGCACUGGAUCUGUAGAUUAACUGGGGAAAACUUACAUCUUCCUGAAGUUGAGUCUUCAUGUCCAUUAUAAAGUACCCCGGAGGAGAAGUUUCCAUCAGAAUAAAUUCUCUAACAUUUGUGACCAUCUUGUCUUCCAACCUGUGAUGACAAUAGCCACCCUACCUUACUACUCUCCUGAGAGAAAUUUUUUAAGCAUGGGGACGUCUCUGAAGUCUCCUGCAGCUGUCGACCCGUACAUCCUUGAUUCCAAAUGGCAGAAAACUAAUUUGCAGCCUCAAGGGGAAGGUAUAUCAGGAAUCUUUGUCCCCUGAUGCCUGCAUGGAUACUACAGCAAUACUACAACCUCACAGAAGCUGCUUAACCCAUGGAUCCUGAAAAUCAUAGGCAAGAAGCACAGGUCCUGAUGAGUGGAUCUUUACUACUUUUACCAGAUUCCUCCCUCACUCAGAGGGACCCUCCCACACACCCAGCAGAGACUUCUCUGCCACCAUCAACCCCCCAAGUCACAGGGGGCUCAAGUUCUACCCUGGUGAGCUGUGGCCCCCAUCCUUGUGAACCCCAAAGUGUCCCCCUUGUGGAACCAAAUGUAUCCAUCUUGAAUAAAUUUGCCCAAAAUCCUAAAGACCGGGAAAAGGGAACCAUUGAGCUUGGCAAGUACUGGGGAACAUCUUUGCUUCCUGCAUCUCUAGCACCAGAUCACCAUGAGUAUGGACCACCCAUUUCAGAACAGCCGCCAAAUGCUGAGGUUAGAGAGGGUUACUUAUGUCAGGCAGAUGUUCUUUCCUUGUGAAGGAAAGCAUUUUUAAGCUUCUUUGAUUUUUAAAAAUUUAUUUUUAUU